rnacentral:tRNA from 2 species
GCCCGCGUAGUUCAAUCGGAUAGAACAGCGCCGUCCUAAGGCGCGUGUUGUGGGUUCGAGUCCUGCCGCGGGCG